CAUUUAUUGAAUGGAUCAUCAUUUUCUGGGGACUACCAUGUGCCAGGCACUACACUCUGCAUGGAUGAGCAUCCCUUAAUCCUCAAGGAACCCUAUGAAGCUGGUGUUUAUGAAAUAAUGAGCAAGAAAAAAUGCACUACAAGUUCAAAGAACGGCUCUGACAUUCAAGUUGUACCAGCAAAGGUGAUGAUCCAAAAACAUGAACUCUAAGAGUUCAUGGCAGGCCCCCUCCCCACCAGAGCUCAGAACGCCUGUCUACCAGGGAACAUCUGAAGAGUGAUAUAAGACUAGUCAACAUAAGUACAUCCAUGGACAUCAUUUCAUAAUGUACUAUAUCACUUUCUUUAUGCAAAACUUGAAUCUCAAGAAGUCUGAACUACCUUCGGGUAAUACACCCACUGGAUAGUAAAGCUUCCAGAGUCACUUCAUGAAGUUUACUCCAGAAGGAAUUUCCCCCGCUAACUAAUAAUGCCACAAAGUUUCCAACUUCCUAUAACACUCCAACAUCUUUCCAGAUGCUAAACAAAGUUAUUCUCCAAGGGAGCAACUGAUGAUUUGAAAGGAAGAACAGUACAGCUCAGCAAUGUUUGUAGGCUAAGUUCAGCCUCCCAGUAGCUUUGCCACAUCUUUUCUAUGGGGAAAUUAACAAGAAAAGCUCUCGGCUUAAUAUAUUAUUGGAACUUGGCUACAAGCUAAUUGGGGAAGAGAAAUCAUAGGGAAAUGCAGCCAGCUGCUGGAAGUCUCCAACACAAAUCUGGAAAAUGGUGAGACACUUAGUGGACAGAGGAUUGCUUAACAUAUAGGCAGGGUAUAAGAGUACAUGUGAUUUACUAUGUAUUUAGCUACAUUUUUCCCUCAGAGUAAGUGACACGCUUUCAAAGCACACAAUGCAAAAUUGUGGCCCAUGAGGAGGAACUAGCCAAAUAGAAAUCCUUAAAGAAUUUUAGCUGGGAAAAGAAGCUGGUGUAAAAAUCAAAAGGCCAGUUCAUACCUGAGUCCCAAGGCACCCAUCUACCUACAGACUUGAGAGCCAGCAAGAAACUUGAAAAGACAUCACCGAUCACCCUAAAAGCAGCAAGCUGAGGUUCAGAAAUUAUCUCUGCUAAGCCUGAAAAAAGAGUUAUCUCACACAUAUGCCUUCAUGUGAGUCUUCUAAAUCUCAGCCCAGGUUUCUCCCCCACUCGCCCUUCAAUAGAAUAAAAUCAUUACUGCUGCCUAUUUAUAACGAGAUGAAAGUCCACAGAGAAACGUACAGGAAGCCCACGAGACCCCUGUCCCCUCCCAUAGUGCCGCCACAACCUGGGAAGACAAUUAACCAGCUCACCCCUGCAGUUUUUAAUGGCCCCAAUCAUAGGAGACCAGGAGAGCAGACCCAGCCUGAUUUAACAGGCACUUUCUCACACGUGGUGCAUUUCAAGUGUAAAACAGUUCACUUCAUUUUCUUGGUUCCUGUUUGUGCUUCUAAAAGUAUUCUUGGAGAGAUUAAGGACCAUUGGUGGAGACCAAGAGCAUGAAAGCUCUUCAUGCUCAAACCCUUUGCAGGGCUCUAUGCCGCAACGUGUCAACUGAGCCGGCCCAAGGGCUAGAAGCAGCAAACACAGGUGUUGCUGAAAGCGCCCCUCCCCCUCUCACCAUCACCACCAAGGGCUGGUAUGCAAACAGAGCGGGAGGAUGUGCAGACACAUGCUUCUUCAGACAAAGUGUGGACGUGUGCUCAGGUUCCAUCUUGACCAAGUUACUUGCUAUAAGCCUCACUGUGACUCCCUAUGAAAUGGGGAUAGGAAAAGUACCCGACAGAGGUGAUGAUGAGAAUGAGAUCAUGUGCACAAGGCUGGGCAGUGUGAUGGCACACAGAACCUGCUCAACAGUCGUUAGCUGUCAGCAUCCGUAUCACAAUCAGGUACUAAGAGAUACUGAAGAACUCCCAGGCUUUACUCAGCCCCCAUCCAGGGGCUCCCUAUGCUUACAUCCCUGCACAGAACUCUCUCUGAAAGGUUCAGACACAUGCGCCCAGGCCCAAACACAAACCUGAUCGUCCACUCGCUUGCAUGCGAAGGCAUGGAGCAUACAAGCACACGGCAUAUCUGUGGGCUGAAGCAGGGGUUCCCAGCUUGACUGUGCACUGGUGUCACCUGGAAGGCUCCUGAAAAUGCAGGUUUCUGGGUCCCAUCCUCAGCGAUGCUGCCUCGGUACGUCUGAGUUGGGACUCAAGAAUUUGCAUGUCUGAUGCACCAAUCCAAGGACCACAUUUGGAGAACAAGCAUGCCAAAGGAAUGAGAAAUAAGAGACAAGAAUGGAAAUAGGGGUAAAUGAAAACAAAAGCCACCUGUGAAAAGCUCAGACCCAAAGGGAGUCUAGAGCCCUUGAUGGAACCAGGGGCCGGCCCUCUAGUGAGGAGCAAGAAUGACUGCAGGCAGGGGUCCUCCCACUGUGGAGGCAGCCAUGCAGCACUGACCCAAGGCCACAGCCCAAAAGGGCCAUCCAGAGGGGUGGGUGUCUGACAAUGAGACCACUGGUGGGACGUACACCAUCCCGCUCAGUCACUGUGAAUGCAAUGCUGCAGCCGAAAGCCUGCUCACAGGGAGACUGAUGGGCAUAUUUCAUGCUAAUUCUUCUGGAGUGGGGAAGCUUUUAUUCUCCUCAUGUCAAGAAGAAAAUGAUGGCAGACAUUUCCGGUAGAAAUGCCACCGCAUUCUUUAUAAUGUCAUUCAGCUGCUGCAGAAUUAAACUACUGACCAAAUGAAUCUGUUUACCGAACAAACUGUGGCUUGAUCUUCUUGCCCUGAGGGCUGAAGUGUCAUGCUGCCCAAGCAUCCACAUUUAUUCUAAGGGAUGUCAGACGAUGAAGCACCGUAUACACAGGCGGGGGCUUUAAUGCUAUGGGAGGAAGCCAGGCCAAGGGUUGUCACCUACUCCAGCAUGCUCGCCCUUUCUAGGGCUCCCCAUUUCCCUCAGGGUUAUGUCUGUUCAAAGCCUCUAGCACGGUGCAUGACUCCUUAUUUCCAUAGCUUCACAGGUCCUCGGCUUGCAUUCCCUGAGCACAGGCACCUGCACCCAAGGGCUCAGGACUCCUUUAUCUCUGGGCCUUUGCUCGAGCCGUUCCCUCUGCCUGGAACACUGUCUUCUCCUGCCUCCUCCAUAUGCUUAACUCCUAUCCAUCUUUCUACUAUCAGGUUAAAGAUCACCACGGUGUGCCCAAACAGUAUCUGCUAUGGAUUGAAUUGUGUCCCCAUCCUGAAAAAAAAAAAAGAAAAAAGAAAAAAAACACCUCCUACGUUGAAGCCCUAACUUCCAAUAUGGGAGCUAUGUGGAGGUGGGGCCUUGGGAGGUAAUGAGGAUUAUUAGAUGAGGCCACGAGGGUGGAGCCCCCUAGUGGGAUCAGUGCCCUUAUAAGAAGGGGAAGAACCAAGUCUCUGCCAUGUGAGGCCAGCAAGAAGGUGGCCACCUGCAGGCCAGGAGGAGACCUCUCACCAGAAAUCCAAUCUGCAGUCAUCCUGGUCUCAGACAUCCAGCCUCCAGAACUGUGAAAUCGAAGUGUCUGUUGUCUACGGUAUUUUGUUACAGCAGCCUGAGCUGACUAAUGUAGUGCUCCUCUAGCUCCCAUUCACAGCCUUCAUGGUUUUGAGAAGAGUAUGUAUCCAGAUCAUAAGGUCUGUGAGGCCAAGAGACAUUUACUGACCAGAGUAUCUGGAGAACGUAGUAAAGCUUUGAAAUAGGCGUAGUUAAGUGCUGAGCAAACAUUUACAAAUGAGUGCAUAAAUGAACGAACGAAUGAAUGAAUGAACGAACGAACGAAUGAACGAAGAAGCAAGUGAACAAAUAGUGAGCAACUGCCUGCCUCUUUCAGGUCCUCCCUGCAAAAUGAGGCAUUCUGGCGGAGGACUUUUCACAAAAUUUGCAAUCGGGGACACAGCAGGGACUCCAGAACAGCUGCAAAGCAUGAAGCUCAGAGCGUGUGGGGAAUCAGAAGAACCUGCUCCAGGCCACUUCUGGGCUCUGGGAGCUACUCAGCUUUGAAGGCAGUGCUGGACCCUGAAAGCAGAGCCCUCAAAGCGGGGACCCCGCCAACCUGGGCUUCCAAGGAAGAGUUUCAAAAACGCUUGUAGAAACAAGGGCUAGGCUAACCUUAGAAAUUCUGCUCUAAUCAGUUACAUGUACUAGAUUCCAGGUGAAAUUUCAUUUGACAGAAAAAUAGAUUUUACUGCUUGCCAAAAAGAUGAAAUGCAAUCUGAAACUCAUGGUUAUUUUCUAAAGCUUCAGUCCCACUCAGUCCCAGUGGCCUUGUCUCUGCAGAAGAACUUUCCAAGGAGAACAAAUUGAAUUGUUUGCUGUAUGAUGAUUUACACCAGCUCAUUUCGUAGGGUCUUGAAAUCCUAGUGACCCGCUGGUUCUGGUAUGACCAGAAUAAAAUAAGAGUCUUUGGACAUUAGUCCUCUAUGGCCCAACUCGGUGUCUGCUGUUGAGAUGCACAGAGGAGCCCAAGGGCCUUCCAUUUUGGUUUAAGGAACGAGUCAACCAGUAGGCCAGGGUCUGUACAGUCAGGGAACAUAGGCCAUGACCCGAACCCAGUGGCUCUCUUUGAAGAAAAGACCCAUGUCUGCAGAACAGAGCCUCGGAUUUUGCCAACAGACCCGAGGGCAAGUUACCACAGGGCUCCUAUGAGGAAAGCAACGGCCAACACUACCAUUGUGUCUAGGUUACAGACCACGAGAGCAGAUUUGUGACAUCAGAGCAUGCGUCUCAGACCCUGCCAUCCUCUAGGUCUUUGCUGUCCUCCUCCCUGAGGACUUCCGUGGGGAACAGGGGCUGCUGGGAGGCGGAUACACCUAUGAACAGAAACCACAAAACUCCGCCAUCUGGAUAUUUCCCCACCCACCCCUGACACAAGAAUGGUGCGAAUCCCACACCCUGAACAGAACUGAUGAAACCGAACGGCAAUGAUGAGCAAAGCCAGUCUGGUUCCAUUUUCUCACUCUUCCCCCUUCGGUUCUCAGCAGAGAGAAAUGGGACCUGCUUUCAGACCGCUGCCAGUUGACCCGAGAAACCCUGAAUGACUCAAACAAGCACAGGGCCUCACAAAUGGUACAUGGCAGGUCAAAGUGCAGAGAAGGCUCUGGCCAACAUCCAUGACCCAGUUGGCUGCAGCAGCACACUCUCUGUAAACAUGGCUCCCGAGCCCUCCCGUGAGACCUCUGACCUUACAUGCCUCUUGGCACCUCUUGGCAAGACCCCAUCCAGUAAGUGAGAGAAACACUAGUCAUCUUGAGAAUAGCACUUGCAUGCUAUUUAAGUCGAACUGUGGUACAAAAGUGCAAAGAUUUUUAAAAAACAUCACCUCCAGGAACAUUUUAAAUAUGUUGUGCCGAGGGGCAGAAAGUUUAUACAAAUAUUAUACUUUCAGUUUAAUUACUACAUAGUAGCUCUUGCCCAGGUUAUGGAUUUACCUCAGAGCCACGUCAGAAUUUAGGAACACUCUACAUAUACCUCUGCAAUUACUCAUAGGUCUCCAUAUACCAACUCACUGAGACUUAGCCUGGGUGAUGGCAUCAAUCUCUCCAACAAGAUGGGCUCAUACACUGCGAAUAAACGCCAUGGGAGCCAUCCGGGCAGCACUACACCAGACUUUCUUCAUUCGGAUUAGGGGGACUCCUGAUGAGGCUGGAGCUGCCCCUGGAGACGCACCUCAUCCUCCCUAGACACAAAGGGAAUCCUCGACUGACCUAGUCUAGGAAAUAGCAGGAAACUGAAAGAACAAAAAAGAAUAAUGCAUGUAUUUUGACCUCUCCUCCUAAAGUUAAGAGCAGUAAGCUACAGGAAGAACAAAGAAAGAAAAGAACAGAUA